UACGUAGGUGGCGAGCGUUUGUCCGGAUUUACUGGGCGUAAAGGGCGUGCAGGCGGUUUGUUAAGUGCAGGGUGAAAGCUCCCGGCUCAACUGGGAGAGGUCCUUGCAUACUGGCGAACUCGAGGGAGGCAGAGGAAAGUGGAAUUCCCGGUGUAGUGGUGAUAUGCGUAGAUAUCGGGAGGAACACCUGUGGCGAAGGCGGCUUUCUGGGCCUUACCUAACGCUGAGACGCGAAAGCGUGGGGAGCGAACCGG
rnacentral:rRNA from 1 species